rnacentral:rRNA from 3 species
ACGGGUGAGGAAUACAUCGGAAUCUACCUUUUCGUGGGGGAUAACGUAGGGAAACUUACGCUAAUACCGCAUAAGACCUUCGGGUGAAAGCCGGGGACCUUCGGGCCUGGCGCGGAUAGAUGAGCCGAUGUCGGAUUAGCUUGUUGGCGGGGUAAAAGCCCACCAAGGCGACGAUCCGUAGCUGGUCUGAGAGGAUGAUCAGCCACACUGGAACUGAGACACGGUCCAGACUCCUACGGGAGGCAGCAGUGGGGAAUAUUGGACAAUGGGCGCAAGCCUGAUCCAGCCAUACCGCGUGGGUGAAGAAGGCCUUCGGGUUGUAAAGCCCUUUUGUUGGGAAAGAAAUCCUGCCGGUUAAUAACCAGUAGGGAUGACGGUACCCAAAGAAUAAGCACCGGCUAACUUCGUGCCAGCAGCCGCGGUAAUACGAAGGGUGCAAGCGUUACUCGGAAUUACUGGGCGUAAAGCGUGCGUAGGUGGUUGUUUAAGUCUGCUGUGAAAGCCCUGGGCUCAACCUGGGAAUUGCAGUGGAUACUGGGCGACUAGAGUGUGGUAGAGGAUAGUGGAAUUUCCGGUGU